rnacentral:lncRNA from 1 species
AGCAGAGCGAGUCCAGAGAGAUGUGCAGUUGCUCUGGGGUUGGAAAAAGCGAAAAUGAAAAGAAAAAUCGUACGAGAAAGCAUGAGAUGGGGAAUUUAGAACCCACUGCAAAAGUCCACUGACGUCGAGAGAACUGCUGAGCAUGUGGAAGAGCUGGCACAUAACCGUAGAUAGAAGCAGAUAACUGGGUGUUUGCACGAGGCCAAGGGAUGGGAAGAGAUUCUCAUGAAUGGAUUAAUAUGGCUAGUGUGAUAAAGCAGAGAGAAGAAGCCUUUCUCAAGGCAGCAACAGAUGCCUUCUUCAACAACCCCUUUAGCACCAUCUCUUCCAGAAGAUGCAAUGUCAGUCUGCAGAGAAGGGUGUGUGUGUUUGUGUGUUGGAAAACAUCUGUGAACCUGUUGUGCUGCUUUCAGUGGGUCAACCCGGUCUCUCGUGCAUGGACUUCGGAAACACCCUGGAGCAGGUGA